rnacentral:lncRNA from 1 species
GGGCGGCCAGGGCGCCCCCGCCAGGAGGCCCGCCAGGUGUCCACCUGAGCCCCACGCCCUGCGCCGCGGGGCCCUUUUGGGGGCGGGGUGCCAGCUCCGAGGUGUCCUCCCACGGGCUGUAGACUGGGAAACUGAGGCCCGGGCCACGGUCCCAGACGCAGCCGGGACCCGAACCCACCUCACCUGAGCGAAUGAUAUCCGGGACUCAUCCUUUUUCGACACCUUUGCGGGAUCCAGCCCUCCAAGGAAAGCUUCCUGAGCAGUGCGCGCCACGUGUAUUGGGCACCUCACCGCGGCCACUUCACAUCCUAUCUCAGGUGGAGAAACUAAGCCACAGAAAGGAGCUGUCAUUUACCUAAAGCACCGUGGCAGGGGUUUGGCAGAGCCAGGAUUUGUACCCAGAUCGCCUGACUUCGGAGAGUAACAGCUCUUAACCACAGCACUUCGGUCUAUGCCUUGAUUUCACCAUAUGUAACAAGGCAUCACCAUCUGUUUUCCGCAGCAGCUGUGCCACUUUGCAUUCCCACCAGCAGCACGCAAGCGUUCGAAUUUCUCCGCACGCUCCCCAACAGGACAAGAGCUUGCCGUGUUGCCCCAGGCUGGUCUCAAACUCCUAGCCUCAAGCAAACUUCCUGUCUCGGCCUUUCAAAACCCUGAGAUUACAAGCAUAAGAAAAGAAAAUCUUGUAAGAUGAAAGCUGAAGGAUGAGAGCAAUUAAUUGAUGAAGUAUGAUGAUCCAGGUGUCCCUGGGUGAAGAAACAACCUCUACAAAGGCCCUGAGGUAGGAAUAUGCCAUUAUAGGACCUAGGAGCUGUUCUCAGGGAGCUGACGGUGAUUGAGGCUCAUGGAACAAGAAAAGAAAAAUCAUCAUCACCAUUGUCACUAUCACUACCAUAGUCAGAUGAAGAGAUGGGGUCUCCCUAUGCUUCCCAGGCUGGUCUCGAACUCCUGGACUCAAGCAAUCCUCCUGUCUUGACCUCCCAAAGUGCUGGGAUUACAGGCGUGAGCCGCCUCACCUGGCCUAUAGAAUUUUAUACAAAUGAAAUCAUACUGGUCUCGCUCAUCACCAGGCUGGAGUACAGUGACAUGAUCAUGGCUCACUGCAGCCUCAACCUCCCGGGUUCAGGCUAUCCUCCCACCUCAGCCUCCCAGGACCACAGGCGUGUGCCACCAUGCCCAGCUAAUUUUUUGUAGAGAUGGGGUUAUGCCAUGUUGCCCAGGCUGGUCUCGAGCUGCUGGGCACAAGCAAUCUACCCAUCUCAGUCUCCCAAAGUGCUGGCAUUAUAGUCGUGAGCCACUGUGCCCAGCCAACAGCGUCUUUCAAAGAGCAGAGAGAGGUUAAUUUUGAUGAUGUCCAGUUUGCACCUUUGUUGAAAAUUGACCAUAUAUCUGUGAGUCUGUUUCUAGACUCUUUGUUCUGCUUUAUUAAACUACUUGUCUAUUUGUACACCAAUGCCACACUGUCUUCAUUGCUGUGCCUUUGUAAUAAGUUUUAAAGUUAGGUCAUUUAAGUCCUUUAAUUUUGUUCCUCUUUUUCAAAGUUGUUUUGACUAUUCUAAGCUUUUGCAUUUCCAAUACAUUUUGUAAUCAGCUUGUAAAUUUCUACCAAAAAAGCCUGCUGAGACUUUGACUGAAAUUAUGUUGAGUUUGUAGAUUAAUUUGGGAAGAAUUGACAUAUUGACAGUAUCGAGUCUCUCAACCCAUGAACAUGGUAUACCUCUCCAUUUAUUUAGACCUUUAGAGCUUUUUCUCAGAAACAUUUUGUAGCUUUUUUUUUUUUUUUUUGAGACGGAGUCUUGCCCUGUCACCCAGGCUGGAGUGCAGUGGCACGAUUUUGGCUCACUAUAACCUCUGCCUCCCGGGUUCACGCGGUUCUCCUGCCUCAGCCUCCCAGGUUCACGCGGUUCUCCUGCCUCAGCCUCCUGAGUAGCUGGGAUUACAGGCAGGCGCCACCAUGCCCGGCUAAUUUUUGUAUUUUUAGUGGAGACGGGGUUUCACCAUCUUGGCCAGGAUGGUCUCGAUCUCUUGACCUCGUGAUCCGCCCGCCUCAGCCUCCCAAAGUGCUGGGAUUACAGGCAUGAGCCACCACGCCCAGCUUGUUUUGUAGCUUUAAUUGUAUAGGCCUAACAUACUUUUUUGUUCUGUUUAGUCUAUUUCAUAUUUUUAUGCUACCGUAAAUAGUAUUUUUUAAAAUUUCAAUGUCCAGGUGUUUUUUGCUAGUAAUAUAUUUUUUAUGUUGAUCUUGUAUCUUUCAACCUUAUUAUACUCAUUUAUUAGUUCCAGCAGCUUUUUUGCAAAUUCCAUCAGAUUUUUAACUUAGAUGAACAUUUUUUUUUUUGCAAAUAAAGGCAACUUUUCUUCUUUAUAUCAAAUCUGAAUUUUUUUUAUUUCCUUUUCUUGUCUGAUUAUAUGGGCUAGAAUCUCCAAUACAAUGUUGAAUAGAAGUGGUGAGAGUAGACAGACCUGUCUUGUUCAUGAUCUUAGGGGAAAAACAUUAAUGAACCCUAAUGUUCAUUAUAGGGUUUUGUUUGGUAGAUGCCUUUUAUUAGGUAAGAAGAUUCCCUUCUAUUCCUGGCUUGCUUAAUUUUUUUUUUAACAAUCAGGAACGAAUCUUGGAUUUUGCCAAAUGUUUUUUCUGCCUUUAAUGAAAUGAUCUGAUCAUUUUAAUUGUUUAGUCUGUUAAUACAGUGAAUUACACUGAUUGAUUUUCCAGUGUUAAAGCCACUUUGCAGUCCUAGGAGAAAUCCCACUGGUUGUGAUGUACAGUUGUCUUCCCUUAUCCAUGGGGGAUGUGUUCCAAGACCCCUAGUGAAUGCCUGAAACCUCAGAUAGUACCAAACCCUAUAUACACUAUGUUUUUUCCUGUACAGACAUACCUAUGAUAAAGCCUAAUUUAUAAAUUAGGCACAGUAAGAUAUUAACAAUAACUAAUAAUAAAAUAGAACAAUUAUAACAAUAUACUGUAAUAAAAGUUAUAUGAAUGUGGU